GGGUAUUUAUUCCUGUAGUAAAUGUCUCACAUUUCCCGUCUUUAAUGUCUUACAGCUCUGACAACUUUCUCAAGGUGUCCAGUCUUGGAUUAUGGAUAUCCUGUGGCCCACGGGUCUAACUUUUGGUAUUUCUAUUCAUCAAGAGGAGACUUCAGGCUCCAAAACUGAGCCAAAUUUCUGGAAGGGGUGGCUUAGGAGAAUACCUUUCCCAAGAAAGGUUAAUGCAUCAUUUAUAUUCCAGCAAAUAUGACUAAUCUGAAUUGCUGUUGGUGCCGUUUAAGAUUGACUCUUCAGGCACAAGCAGCAUCUCAAGAAAACAUAGAGCAAUUAAGAGACAGCCAUAUGGCUGCAGUAAAACCUCAGGUGGAACUCAGAACUAAAGAUCUGGAAUCCGAACUCUACAAAAUGAAAAUGUCUCAGGAAGACUUAAAAAUGUUGAAUUGGAAAAAUAUAAUCUACUCUAUCAAGUAGAAGUAGAAGCUAGAAAAUCCUUGUCAUGUAAACAUGAAAAGACUCCACAGCACACUGAUGGGAUUUUUAUUGAUUCCUCAAUUAGUCAUCAGGAACCUUGGAGUGAGGAACACAAAAGGAAGGGGUGCUUGCGUCUGUGAUGCCCGAGUCCCCGCGUUGGCGGGAGCCCUGCCUCCAGCUCCCCUCCCCAGCCACGAAGUGUCUCCCUUCUGCAGAGGUCGAUGUCAUCAAACGAGACCCCGACUCUCAUGCAGAGGUUCUC